rnacentral:rRNA from 1 species
UAGGGAAUCUUCGGCAAUGGACGGAAGUCUGACCGAGCAACGCCGCGUGAGUGAAGAAGGUUUUCGGAUCGUAAAGCUCUGUUGUAAGAGAAGAACGAGUGUGAGAGUGGAAAGUUCACACUGUGACGGUAUCUUACCAGAAAGGGACGGCUAACUACGUGCCAGCAGCCGCGGUAAUACGUAGGUCCCGAGCGUUGUCCGGAUUUAUUGGGCGUAAAGCGAGCGCAGGCGGUUAGAUAAGUCUGAAGUUAAAGGCUGUGGCUUAACCAUAGUAGGCUUUGGAAACUGUUUAACUUGAGUGCAAGAGGGGAGAGUGGAAUUCCAUGUGUAGCGGUGAAAUGCGUAGAUAUAUGGAGGAACACCGGUGGCGAAAGCGGCUCUCUGGCUUGUAACUGACGCUGAGGCUCGAAAGCGUGGGGAGCAAACAGGAUUAGAUACCCUGGUAGUCCACGCUGUAAACAAUGAGUGCUAGGUGUUAGACCCUUUCCGGGGUUUAGUGCCGUAGCUAACGCAUUAACACUCCGCCUGGGGAGUACGACCGCAAGGUUG